CGACCCUCAAGUAUAACUUGGUGUUGGGUGAAGUCCUUUAUGGGGACCCACCCUUAACUUAUAGGCGGUCAUCGCCCGCUUUCCCCUAGCGUAGCAGGCUUACACGCACUCGCUCGGGGACAGGUGAUUUGACUUGCUCAAAAACCCUUUUUUAAAAG
rnacentral:misc_RNA from 1 species